rnacentral:lncRNA from 1 species
CUGUGGCUCUCAACACCUUGCUCUGUAACAAAAAUAAGUUAACUCUUGCAUUUUAUUUUUGUCUUUUCUUCUUGUGAUUUUGGAUAAUUUGCAUGUUUACUGAGGUCUAUAUUUUUCAUGUUAUCUAGUUGAUAUUACAAGAGUAGUGUUAACCAAGUGAAAUAAUGAAGUAUUAUCAAUGUAAACUAAAUACAUUUAUUUAAUUAUAGUUUAAUAUUUAAAUUAUUAUGUAUAAUAGUUCACUAUGUAAAGAAUUAGCAUGAGGUCUUGUUAACAUGCAAACCACACUGUCCAAGAGGGAUUUUUCUGCCACUUUUUAAGUAUUUAAUACUGAUACUUUUCAAAAUGAAUAAAGCAAGCCAGGUGCAGUGCCUAAAAUUGCAGCUUCUGGGAAGAAUGAGGCAGGAGGGUCAAAAUUUU